rnacentral:rRNA from 1 species
GGCCCUCGAAAUCCUGUGGCGGGGGGAUUCAGUCAGGAGGGGCGGAGGUGUCGCCGGCCAUCCUCGAUGGACCCUUUACGGGCCGGUCCGGUGGCACUGUCUCUGUUCCGCCUGACGCAUUUCCUCCCGCACGAAGGACGCCGCAGCCGGUUGGGUAGCUGCGCGUGUCGGCCUUAAGGACGGGCAACGGAAGGUGACCGGUGGCGUCGCUUCGGCUUCGUCGCCGGUUGUUAUCCAGCCCGCCCGUGGCGCGACACCCGACCGAGGUUUGUAAGGUCCCUUCUCCGGGACCUCGCCGUCCCCUCCCGAUUCGGAAGUGGGCGAUCCGGCAAGCACAUCGCGGCGCCGUCACGCCACUCUUCGCAGUGGUCGACGCGCCGAGGUUGCCGUUGGUUUCGGAUCUCGUCCCACGGGGGUGUUCUGGCGGCUAGCGGCGAGUAGGUCGGUCACCCACCCGACCCGUCUUGAAACACGGACCAAGGAGUCUAACAUGUGCGCGAGUCACGGGGUCUUGAAUAGGCCGCAGAGGCGCAAUGAAAGUGAAGGUCGACCUCGACGUCGACUGUGUUGGGACUCUCCGCCCCCUCCGGGCGGGGAAGCACCAACGACCCGUCCUGUCCGAUUUAUCGGUUGGGCGGAGUCUGAGCGUACACGUUGGGACCCGAAAGAUGGUGAACUAUGCCUGGGCAGGACGAAGCCAGAGGAAACUCUGGUGGAGGUCCGUAGCGGUUCUGACGUGCAAAUCGAUCGUCAGACCCGGGUAUAG